rnacentral:rRNA from 1 species
UACGGAGGGUGCAAGCGUUAUCCGGAUUCACUGGGCUUAAAGGGUGCGUAGGUGGGCAGGUAAGUCAGAGGUGAAAUCUCUGGGCUUAACUCAGAAACUGCCAUUGAUACUAUCUGUCUUGAAUACCGUGGAGGUCAGCGGAAUAUGUCAUGUAGCGGUGAAAUGCUUAGAUAUGACAUAGAACACCAAUUGCGAAGGCAGCUGGCUACACGAAUAUUGACACUGAGGCACGAAAGCGUGGGGAUCAAACAGG